rnacentral:lncRNA from 1 species
ACUGAGAUAUGAACCUGACUGGACUCGGUCUUUUCCUGUCUCCUUCUUAAACACUGCAUCGCAGUAACUCAUGCGCUUUUCCGUUGUCACAUAGAUUUUGGCAGUUGGGUAGCUGUCAACAGCUUUCUUCAGCAUGUUGUAUACAAUGCCAUUUCCAUCCUUCCUCAUGUUUCGAAAAGGUCCCCAGAUCACAUAAAGAGUGCUGUUGGUUUCUUUGAAAAAGUACUCGGGAUUCUUGAGUAGGAGAGGCACGCUUGUGUGAGAGACCACUCUGAUGGUCGUCCUCUUCCCAACAUCCUCCUCAUAGCCCUUUGUGGGUGCAUUGUUCAUUCUCCAAAUGCAGGAGGACUUGUCUAUCUCAGCUCCCACCUUCU